rnacentral:rRNA from 1 species
GAUAGUGCCUAAGUACUCGAAAGGCACCAGAUUCCAUCUAAUUUUGGAAGCUAAGCAGGAUCAACCUUGGUUAGUACUUGGAUGGGAGACUGCCAACAAAUAUCAGGUGCUGUUGGCU